rnacentral:lncRNA from 1 species
UCUCUGGAGGAUCUCCGCGCGUGGCGAGUCUGUGUCCUCCCUGUCCCCCAGAGCAGACACCCUCUCUGUGUCUGGACCGGGGAGGAGCAGACGCUGGACAGGUUUCUGGUAGAAUGCUGGCAAUUUCCAGGAAGAUACGUGGAGAACGGAAAGGUUGCUACACCCAAAUAGUGAAGCAAAGGCUAUGAUUAUGGAGGAUUGGACCUGCAAACUCCAGAACAGAGGGUUUUUUGGUCCCAGGGAACCUCGUUUUCAGAGCAGUGGCUCACGCAGAUCCUGAGCCCAGUUAAUGGUCAUACCUUUCCCUGAGUUUAUGUUCAUUCUAUCCUCUGAGAUUAUCUUUGAAGUCUCAUUACAUAGAUGUCUGUAAAAUCCUUCAAGCUAUGGACAGCCAAGUUCUGCCCUCUGAGGACCCUGCCCUUUCCCAAAAGGGGUAUCUUAAGAAGGAAAAUAUGGCUGCUCUUUGCCGGACAGCAGAGUCCCAGGCUGAACUCCAGUGCACCCAGUUAGACUUGGAGCGGAAACUCAAGUUGAAUGAAAAUGCCAUCUCCAGGCUCCAGGCUAACCA